UGGCCAGACUCCUACGGGAGGCAGCAGUGAGGAAUAUUGGUCAAUGGGCGAGAGCCUGAACCAGCCAAGUCGCGUGAGGGAAGACGGUCCUAUGGAUUGUAAACCUCUUUUGCCGGGGAGCAAAAAGCGGUACGUGUACCGCAUCGAGAGUACCCGGAGAAAAAGCAUCGGCUAACUCCGUGCCAGCAGCCGCGGUAAUACGGAGGAUGCGAGCGUUAUCCGGAUUUAUUGGGUUUAAAGGGUGCGCAGGCGGCGAUUUAAGACGGCGGUAAAUUUUGGGGCCCCACCCCGGACAAGCCGUUGAAACUGGCUUGCUAGAGUGGGCGAGAAGUAUGCGGAAUGCGUGGUGUAGCGGUGAAAUGCAUAGAUAUCACGCAGAACUCCGAUUGCGAAGGCAGCGCACCGGCGCCCUACUGACGCUCAGGCACGAAAGCGUGGGUAUCGAACAGGAUUAGAUACCCGUGUA
rnacentral:rRNA from 1 species